CAGUCGCCGCGGGAAUACGGAGGGUGCAAGCGUUAAUCGGAAUUACUGGGCGUAAAGCGCACGCAGGCGGUCUGACAAGUCAGAUGUGAAAUCCCCGGGCUUAACCUGGGAACUGCAUUUGAAACUGUCAGGCUGGAGUCUUGUAGAGGGGGGUAGAAUUCCAGGUGUAGCAGUGAAAUGCGUAGAGAUCUGGAGGAAUACCGGUGGCGAAGGCGGCCCCCUGGACAAAGACUGACGCUCAGGUGCGAAAGCGUGGGGAGCAAACAGGAUUAGAUACCCGAGUAGUCCCUGUCUCUUAUAA
rnacentral:rRNA from 1 species